GUGCAGGAGCCUGGAUACAAUCACAGACAUCACCCUGAUUCACACAGCUUUUUGAGGGGUGACAAAGUGCGACAAGCUCCAAAGAGGAAAUGAUGAACACAGAGAGGCCUUUGAUGGAGUCAUUGACUGUGAGAGGUAUCUGGGAUGAAGAGUGUGGAUUCAGACUUGCAGCUCGGAGGGGAGGAGGGGAGAACAAAGAAGACCCAUCCUCGCCUGAGAUCCAGCGAUAUAAUCUUCACCGUUGGAGAAACAGUGAGCAUGUUGUCGGCAUUGUGAUGGAAGCACUGCAGCUGCCAGACAGCUGAACGCUGGGGUGCCGGGAAGUGGGCUGCACACACCGGCUGCCCCCCUGCCUCGCUUUCGUCUGCCUGACUGAUCCUCUACAUACAUUACCCCCACAAACUGCAGCCGUCUCACAGGACCUUCAUCAUUGCAGUUUACAGACCAUUUUCAACGACAAAUGGGGAACAGCGUGGACGCUAAUUUUGUUUUUGGCAAAAAUAUGUGGAAAAAGCUGACGCAGUCACCAGCUGUUUU
rnacentral:lncRNA from 1 species